rnacentral:rRNA from 1 species
GAUGAACGCUGGCGGCGUGCUUAGCACAUGCAAGUCGAGCGAAGCACUUUAAAGUUUUCGGACAGAGGAGUGACUGAGCGGCGGACGGGUGAGUAGCGCGUGGGUAACCUGCCUCAUACAGGGGGAUAACAGUUAGAAAUGGCUGCUAAUACCGCAUAAGCGCACAGAGUCGCAUGACUCCUGUGAAAAACUCCGGUGGUAUGAGAUGGACCCGCGUUGGAUUAGGCA